AUACAAUUAAUUUUCUUCUUUAUAUGGUUAGAGUAGCAAAUAAUGCAUUGAUUUCCAUCAUAAAAUAUUUUAUGAUGGAAAUCAAUGCAUUUUUUAUUUUAGAAACAGGGGACUCGUGGUUGGUGUAAGCCACCAAUAACUGUUCCUAAGACAAUUUUAAAAAUCUUAAGACACCAGAUUACGAUUAGACAUAACCAGACUCAUGGAUCGUGUACCAAGACUGUAAGUAGUUUAUACAUAUAUAUAUAUAUUCGUGUAAUAAUUAGCGGUGGUUUCAGAAUGUUAAAAAUGAUUACAGACAAUAAGCUGUAUGAUUCAGCCCAUGCCCUAUAGAGGCUUUCGGUAGUAAAACGGAAUAGACCCUAUGACCGACCUAGACUCAUUGUCGGACACCGGUAAUACGAGGUGUGUAUAUGAAGUAGACGUAUGGUAUCCAGAAGAGCUGUAUAACAAGCACAACAACUUUCCGUUUUUGCCUUGUAAAAACGUUCUGACGGGUUCCAAAGAGACCAAAUUUUAAUAUCCAAACAGCGAUACGUGGUACAUUAUGUUAACUUGAAACAGGCGUUCGCACAUGGACUGCAGGUCGAUAAAGUGCACCGUGUUUUGGAAUAUCAACAAUGUGCUUCGUUGUUGUGUUUAAAUACUUUUGACUUCCUUUUUUCAGCGUUUUUUGUCAAAAACGACGGAUUUUGACAGUUUCAUUAGACCAUUGGGCAUUUAUUAUUCAGAUUCUGAUACACUUUCAUAUUUAUAAUGUUGGAUUAAUGUAUGUUACAAGUAGGAUUUUCCGGUACCCCACUUAAAAUUUAGGUCAAUAAACUUUGUAAAAGUUUUAGUGUCAUUGGAUUGGAUUAGAUAGAAUAGGUGUGUGGAUG